AAUCCUUUAGUGCUGCCAUUGGCCAUAUUCUGUAUUCCUCUGUCUAAUUACCAAACAUAACACAGUUAUUACAAGGGAAAUACAAAUAGAUAAAAGGGGUUGGUAAACUGCUGCACUGGGAAAAAGCCAGAAAAAUAACAAUAAGUAAGAAGAAAUGUUCUCUUGUCAUUUAUAGCCAUGGCAUCAUUCCUAAUGGACAAUAUACAAGCAAAUUGAAGUGGGAGAAAAUAAUACUGAGAAGCAUAAUACACCACUUAAGUAAUUUAUUUAGGAGUAUUAGCAGAAUACAAAACAGCUUGCCCAAAUCUGACCUUGAGGACAUGUUCAAAUCUUAGUUAACAAAUGUAAAAGAAGGAGGUCAGAUUGCUGCUUUACAAAUAUCAGAAAGAUGGACCUGAGCCCAGGCUGCCCAGCUCAGAUUGUCGCUGUACAAAUAUCAGAAAGAUGGACUAGGGAUCGACCGAUUAUCGGUCUGGCCGAUAUUAUCGGUCGAUAUUCUGUAUUUUCAGCAAUAUCGGUAUCGGCC